UACGAAGGAUCCAAGCGUUAUCCGGAUUUAUUGGGUUUAAAGGGUGCGUAGGCGGACUAUUAAGUCAGUGGUGAAAGCCUGCAGCUUAACUCGGAAACUGCCAUUGAUACUAUCUGUCUUGAAUUAUCUGGAGGUGAGCGGAAUAUGUCAUGUAGCGGUGAAAUGCUUAGAUAUGACAUAGAACACCAAUUGCGAAGGCAGCUCACUACGGAUAUAUUGACACUGAGGCACGAAGGCGUGGGGAUCAAACAGG
rnacentral:rRNA from 1 species